ensembl:lncRNA
UUCAAAAAUCAUUAAGGUCUAAAUCAUUAAGGUGAGUUAUGUAGGUGACUGUCUUGUGUGUGCAGGAUUUUUUUUUUUUUUAUCUUUUAUUUAUUUUUGUAUACAGGUGCAGGUUACAUAUCUCAGUGGAGUCAGUUCUAGAACAUACUGGGGUAGUUUUAAUGGAGCAAUGGAUUCUACCACUGUGAAGUUUCUAAAACAAAGAGUUUUCACUUCAGCUCCCAGCAGGAGCACUUUUUGCAGAAAACACCCUGUCACACACCUUGGGGUCUGUACUGUAACUUUCAGCCAUAACCUUAUCCUGAAGAAUGGCCGUUCUUCGAGGGGAAAAUCUCUUGGUGACAACAUUACAGUCAGUGCUUUUGCAAGCUACCUCCCCUCAUGCCCUGCUUCUCGCCUGGCCUUGCUGUUUUGUGGGCGCUAUAAUGCAUGAUAUCUGUCUUAACAGCUUGUAAUAAAAAAGAGCUGCUUUGCAGGGAGCUUACCAAUUAAACAGAUGAGCUUCCCUUUCUUCAUGAGCCAAAGUCUUGGAGCAGAUUCCCCUCGCUUGGAGAGAAGGAACAAGAGUUGGGGGAUGAGAGACAAAGAGACGAUAGGAAAAGGGCAAGAGAUAGCGAGUAGGAGAAAUGCGUUGCGGUCAUUCACAAAACAGCUUGUCAGGAAAGGAAAACAUGUUCCUUUGAACACCGAACUUGACAUACUCCCUCAAGGAGCUCCUGAAGGUGCCUAAGCACUGACUGAACCAGUCACUGACCAGAUUUCCCUGGUGGUCAAAGUAAGUGUAUUGUUUGGCAGAGAAAAACUGGUUGGGGGCCAGUAGUUUAACCUUUCCAUGGUGUGACAUUCUGGCUUGGAUCUGGAUCGGAUAUGAGUGGUAUUAGCAAAUUAUGAGCGAUCAACCUAAUAGCUGCAAGAAGCUG